GAUGAAGAACGUAGCGAAAUGCGAUAAGUAAUGCGAAUUGCGGAAUUCAGUGAAUCAUCGAAUCUUUGAACGCACAUUGCGCCCGCCAGUAUUCUGGCGGGCAUGCCUGUCUGAGCGUCGUUUCGACCCUCGCGCCCGGCUUCUGUCGGGGGCGGUGUUGGGGAUCGGCCACACCCUUCAGUGGGAGGCCGGCCCCUAAAUUCAGUGGCGACCACGCUGUAGCCUCCCCUGCGUAGUACUAAAACCACCUCGCAGGCGGAGAGCGGUGCGGCCCGCCGUAAAACCCCCCAACUUUUACAAGGUCGACCUCAGAUCAGGUAGGAAUACCCGCUGAACUUAAGCAUAUCAAUAAGCGGAGGA
rnacentral:misc_RNA from 1 species